CAAAAAGACAAAAACAUUAAACAUGGAGAUGUGGAACAAAAACUCAGAAAGAAAGCAACGUAGAAGUAAGUCUACUCAUAAAAUGGACUGUGGACCGAAGUAUUCGAAAGUUUCGGAAUCUUUGCGUUACAUUACGUCAGGUUCAGUUCAAUGCUCGAUGUUUUGUGGCGGCAGGCAGUGUAAAUAUGAAGGACAGGCGAAGUGGAGUGACAGUGAAAUGGUUAUCAAAGGUUUAUAUUCUUCAUGGUAUGUUUCCUUAAUUUGUU